AGAGUUUGAUCAUGGCUUAGGAUGAACGCUAGCUACAGGCUUAACACAUGCAAGUCGAGGGGCAGCAUGCAGGUAGCUUGCUAUCUGUGAUGGCGACCGGCGCACGGGUGAGUAACGCGUAUCCAACCUUCCCCAUAGUAGGGCAUAGCCCGUAGAAAUGCGGAUUAAUACCCUAUGUAUUCCGAGGAUGACAUCUGAUUCGGAACAAAGGUUCACCGCUAUGGGAUGGGGAUGCGUCUGAUUAGGCAGUCGGCGGGGUAACGGCCCACCGAGCCGACGAUCAGUAGGGGUUCUGAGAGGAAGGUCCCCCACAUUGGUACUGAGACACGGACCAAACUCC
rnacentral:rRNA from 1 species